UCGCCUUGAGUGCAGGCAAUGGGGUGCUCAUUUACCUCACGUAGCUGGUAUUUUUUGCUGGCCAGUCCACACAUGGUGCUCAGUCAGUAGCACUCUCAGGAGGUUACAUAGAUGCUGAGGACCAUGUAGAAUGGUUACCGGAAGGUGGUGGUUUCGGUACUGGUGGCCGUCAUUACAUGUGUUGUAGCCAAAUCAAGAUGAAGUACGACUCCG